UCUGACUAGACAGCUUCAGAUACACCUUGCUGUUAGAAUUGUCUCUGGUGACUUCUAUCCGUCCUUCAACUCUUUUUGCAUAUACAGUUCCACCAGCAUCACUCCAUAUAAUAUCCAUUCAAGAGCUCUUCCUUCAGGUUGACGUAUCCAGGCCAUGUUGUAGCUACUAAAGGUAAAACCAGAUCCCUUACAGGAGAGGCUGAGAGGUUCUCCAUGCUUUUUCAGGACUGGACUGGAGGGAAUGUCCUCCAGACUCUGACUAUACACCCCUAAUAGAGAAAAGAGAAUGAAGACAAUAAAUGACAAAUAUGUUAAUUCAAUGGAUAUAAGAAUGAUUUCUAUUCGUAAAAUAAUUUGUUCCAAUAAAUUUCUAGAUUGAGAACAUACUGCAGAAGCCCAGCAAGCCCAGGAGGAGGUGAGGUUUUCCUGUCAUCUUUUCAGGAUGGAAGACAAUUCACCUAUUGGAGGAAAAAUCAUAUAAGUACACAAACUUGUGAGACAGUAUUUGCAUGACAACCAUGAUUGGAUAGUAGCAUGUCACAUUCAUAUACAAGGGGUUUCAAGGCAAUAAAUACAUUUUAAAACAAAGUCAGACAUCAGUGAUCACUGUCAAUCAGCAAACAUUUUCUGUACUGUUUAAACAAUAAAUGAAAUGUUUUUUUCUUCUUCACGUCUCAAAUUCGAACAUUAUGUUUCAUGUAUUAAGAAGAGUCAUGAAAUAGUUGAUAUCAAAUCAUAUUACAACAGCACAAAAAAACAAUAUUUUAAAAAACAAUAACGAACAACAAGUAAUGUACCCUAAAAUGUAUUCUCAUUGUUUCAAUGUCACAUGGUCAACAACUUUCACCAAACUACUUCACUUAGAUGGCUAAACUUCACUCAAUGACUUUUUCAAUUUAUAAUUUUUCAUUUUCUCCCAUAUCUGCAAUACAUCACUGUUGUGUGUUGUUUUUAAAUGUGUUACUCGACUUUUACAUUUAUACAUUGGUUCUUUUUUAGGGUUAAUCAAGAUGCUAUUUCAGGGAAAUGCCGUUACCAGAGUGCAGGUGCAUGCUGGGGCAGAAGUCAUGCUUGGGUAGCUUUGAACUACUGUGCCCAAUGCUCAUUUUGAUAGACAUGACAAAUAAAAACGCAUUCUUGAACAUAUUCUCCCCAAGACAUACUAAAGUAUUUAGGGGGAAUUUCCCAGGGCAGCUUUGAGAAACCACAUUGUUCAAUGCAAUUCUUGAAAAGUGUGUUAUAUUUAUUACAAACACAAACCAUGAAUAUGGUGUGUCAAUAACAUUGUGUGUGAUGAGUAUCAGUGAAUGACUGAAAAUAUUAAAUCAUGUAAUGAAUACAACUGCUAACAAGGUCUAUAAUACAUAUUUAAUGGUGAUUCAAUUGAUUGAUUCUUUGAUCCAUAUCACCAUUUAUUCAAACCAAAUGCCAGUCGUGUUCAUGUGGUUGAAACAUUGUAUGGUUACCAGCCACCAGCUGGCUAAUGCAAAAAGGCAGUUUCUCCUCAGCUGAAACAAGGUAGUGAGAAUUAGAUCAUGAAAGUGUAUAGGAACAGUCCCUGCAGUCCCUGGACUACUUAAACUGUCUAUCUGAAUCAUCAGAGAUGCUAAACUGGGACCCAGAAACACCCAGGUGACAGGCUGGAGUUCAACAAAGCCUGGUGACACACAGCUGUGAGGGUCACAGGGGGGAAGAGAGGGGUGGGGUGUGUGAGAGAAACAUACACAACUGUGAAAAGGAGAGCAGGGUCAGUGUGGAACUUUAUGGAUUAUCAAACAUAAACCCUUAGACUAUGGAAUGGAUGCAUUAAUACUUACUUCUUAUACAGUUUGACCAAAAUGAUGGAAAACAUGCGUUUUCUGUGUGACUUAAAGCUUAAUAAUUAUGACACAAGUAACUAUAUGUUUAUUCCAUAUGUGAGACCUUACAGGAGAUGGUCAGUGGUUGACCUGGCUGGACCGUCAUGGAGGCUGACUGAAGAGACUCACAGGAGAAAGCUGCAGCCGAGAUGCAGAGAACAUGAUUUGUGUUGAAGCUGAACUGGUGGGAGCUGCUCUCCUCUACUCCCCAGGACACAGAGGGAAGCACGAGGACUCUCAGAUACAGAGAGGUUUUAUAGGGACGUAUUAUGACACACAUAUAAAGCGAAGACAGUCAGGUAUACAAGGACUGGGAAUAUCAACGCAAAAUGGGGGGAUAUUAUGUGAUAACGUGUCAGUUUUUAACACUAGACUUAUUGGGGAUGAAACUGAUAUGAUAUGUAGUAACUCCUUAGAAUGGUUAAACAUUCUUUAUGGGACUCAAAUGACAUGGGUGCUUUUUAUUGGUAAUCCUGUCCGUGUCCCCACUCUCUGAGGCUCUCAGGGGGAAUGGAAUAUGAAGGGAAAAAACACAUUUCCAAUACAGCAUGACACAUAUAAGUACCCACCUAACCAUUAUAUUUAUCAAUUAUAUACUGUAUGUAUGUAUGUAUGUAUGUAUGUAUGUAUGUAUGUAUGUAUGUAUGUAUGUAUGUGUUUAAAGUAUGGCUGAGCUUGUGCUAUUAAACCAUUCAUCAUAAAUA